AUGGCUCUUCACGUUCCCAAAGCUCCCGGAUUUGCCCAAAUGUUGAAGGAUGGCGCCAAGCACUAUUCUGGGCUUGAAGAGGCAGUCUAUCGUAACAUCAGAGCCUGUAAGGAGCUUUCUCAGACCACACGCACAGCCUAUGGGCCAAACGGUAUGAACAAAAUGGUCAUCAACCACUUGGAGAAGCUGUUUGUCACCAAUGACGCCGCAACGAUUCUCAGAGAGCUUGAGGUGCAGCAUCCAGCCGCCAAAAUGAUUGUGAUGGCAUCCCACAUGCAAGAGCAGGAGGUUGGAGACGGUACAAACUUCGUCCUGGUGUUUGCUGGAGCUCUGCUGGAGCUGGCUGAAGAGCUGCUCAGGAUGGGCCUGUCAGUGUCAGAGGUGAUUGAAGGCUAUGAGAACGCGUGUAGAAAGACCCUGGACAUCAUGUCAGACUGUGUAUGUUCCUCAGCUAAGAACCUCCAUGAUGUUAAGGAGGCGACAUCUCUUAUCCGUACAGCAGUCAUGAGUAAACAGUACGGUAACGAAGACUUCCUCGCGGGCCUCAUCGCACAGGCCUGUGUGUCCAUCUUCCCAGAGGCCGGCAGUUUCAAUGUUGAUAACGUCAGAGUAUGCAAGAUUUUGGGUAGUGGAGUGACGGCGUCCACCGUGCUACAUGGCAUGGUUUUUAAGAAGGAAGCAGAGGGAGAUGUUACAUCAGUUAAAGAUGCCAAGAUUGCUGUUUUCUCCUGCCCCUUUGACUGCAUGGUGACAGAGACCAAGGGAACCGUGCUGAUAAAUAAUGCAAAGGAGCUCAUGGACUUCAGUAAAGGAGAGGAGGAGAUGAUGGAGGCUCAGGUGAAGGCCAUCAAGGACGCUGGUGCCAACCUGGUGGUAACUGGGGGAAAGGUGGCUGACAUAGCGCUGCACUACGCCAACAAGUACAAGCUCAUGGUUGUCAGGCUGAACUCCAAGUGGGACCUCAGGAGGUUGUGCAAGACUGUGGGAGCUGUAGCACUGCCCAGGAUGACGGCUCCAACUCCAGAUGAGAUGGGUCACUGUGACAACGUGUACCUGUCAGAGGUGGGGGACACUCAGGUGGUGAUCUUCAAACAUGAGAAAGAGGACGGUGUCAUCUCAACGGUGGUGAUCAGAGGCUCCACUGACAACCUGAUGGAUGACAUUGAGAGGGCUAUUGAUGAUGGCGUCAACAGCUACAAGGUUCUGGUCAGGGACAAGCGACUGGUACCUGGAGCAGGAGCCAUUGAGAUUGAGCUGGCCAAACGGAUCACCGCAUACGGAGAGUCCUGCCCGGGUCUGGAGCAGUAUGCCAUUAAGAAGUUUGCUGAAGCCUUCGAGGCUGUGCCACGGUCGUUGGCUGAGAACUCUGGUGUGAAGGGAAGCGAGCUCCUCUCUAAAAUGUACUCUGCGCAUCAUGAGGGAAACAAAAACAUUGGUUUUGACAUUGAGGGAGAAGGCCCCGCUGUGAAGGACAUGCUUGAAGCUGGCAUUCUGGAGCCUUACCUGGUCAAAUACUGGGGUGUCAAACUGGCCACCAACGCUGCCAUCACAGUACUGAGAGUUGACCAGAUCAUCAUGGCUAAGGCUGCAGGGGGGACCCAAGGCUCCCAAGCAGAGAGGCCAUUGGGACAAGGACGAAUGGGAUGACGCACCUGAUAAUUUUGAAACUCACCAUUAGAGGGCGCGCACACACACCCUCCGUCAGUAGGUCCUGGAAUAUCAUCAUGGCUAAACCAGCAGGAGGACCCAAACCUCCUCCCCAGGGCAAGAAGGACUUUGAUGAGGAUGACUAAAUCUGAUGCCAUCCAGCUGAUGCUUCUUUAACCCUGAACGCUCCCACUUGGAUUGACAAAACCUUUUCUACUUGUUUAUUUAAAGCUUAACAGUUCGGUUUAUUUUGUAGAAAUGACCACACAUUGGUUAACAAAUAUGUGAAAGUAAGAUGUAUGGAUGGCACUGUUUGCUUUAUUUGUUCUAGGUCCCAAAUAAAAGGCACUUGGGCUAUCA